rnacentral:rRNA from 1 species
AACGAACGCUGGCGGCAUGCCUAACACAUGCAAGUCGAACGAGACCUUCGGGUCUAGUGGCGCAAGGGUGCGUAACGCGUGGGAACCUGCCCUUAGGUUCGGAAUAACUCCCCGAAAGGGGUGCUAAUACCGGAUAAUGUCUUCGGACCAAAGAUUUAUCGCCUUUGGAUGGGCCCGCGUUGGAUUAGCUAGUUGGUAGGGUAAAAGCCUACCAAGGCGACGAUCCAUAGCUGGUCUGAGAGGAUGAUCAGCCACACUGGGACUGAGACACGGCCCAGACUCCUACGGGAAGCAGCAGUGGGGAAUAUUGGACAAUGGGCGAGAGCCUGAUCCAGCAAUGCCGCGUGAGUGAUGAAGGCCUUAGGGUUGUAAAGCUCUUUUACCCGGGAUGAUAAUGACAGUACCGGGAGAAUAAGCUCCGGCUAACUCCGUG